rnacentral:rRNA from 1 species
GACGAACGCUGGCGGCGUGCUUAACACAUGCAAGUCGAGCGGAGCGGCGAACGGGUGAGUAACGCGUGAGUAACUGCCCCCCUCUCUGGGAUAACAGUUGGAAACGGCUGCUAAUACCGGAUAGUGGGGGAUGACUCGCGUCCUAUGAGCUUGUGGGUGGGGUAUGGGCCUACCAAGGAGACGACGGGUAGCCGGCCUGAGAGGGCGACCGGCCAGAGUGGGCUGAGAUAUUGUCGAAACUCCUACGGUAGGCAGCAGUGGGGAAGAUUGCACAAUGGGGGAAACCCUGAAGCAGCAACGCCGCGUGCGGGAUGACGGCCUUCGGGUUGUAAACCGCUUUCAGCCAUGACGCGGUAGUGGCAGAAGAAGCACCGGCUAACUACGUGCCAGCAGCCGCGGUAAUUC